UUUAAAUAAAGAAGAGUUUGUAGUGGAUGCCUUGG
rnacentral:rRNA from 1 species